rnacentral:rRNA from 1 species
AACGAACGCUGGCGGCAUGCCUAACACAUGCAAGUCGAACGAAGCCUUCGGGCUUAGUGGCGCACGGGUGCGUAACGCGUGGGAAUCUGCCCUUGGGUUCGGAAUAACAGUUAGAAAUGACUGCUAAUACCGGAUGAUGUCUUCGGACCAAAGAUUUAUCGCCCAAGGAUGAGCCCGCGUCGGAUUAGCUAGUUGGUGAGGUAAAGGCUCACCAAGGCGACGAUCCGUAGCUGGUCUGAGAGGAUGAUCAGCCACACUGGGACUGAGACACGGCCCAGAAUCCUACGGGAGGCAGCAGUGGGGAAUAUUGGACAAUGGGCGAAAGCCUGAUCCAGCAAUGCCGCGUGAGUGAUGAAGGCCUUAGGGUUGUAAAGCUCUUUUACCCGGGAUGAUAAUGACAGUACCGGGAGAAUAAGCCCCGGCUAACUCCGUG